AUGGAAACCAUGUCUCUUGCAGCAUGUCCUGCACUAGCAGUGGCCAAUUUCAAGCUACCAAUGUGAUAUCAGUGAGCUUGCAGAAUUCAUGAAAAUUUAAGUCAACUCUAGUGAGCAGAGCAAACUGACUCCAGCUCCCACUGCACCAACUUCACCCAUUUUCCAUCACCCAUUCACCAUCUGAAGAGGUUGCUUUCACUUAAUUCUUCAGACGUGGAAGUCAUACAGGACAGCAAAAGUAAGAAAUAAGGUUCCCAGACAAAAACCAGUGCUUUAUCCAUGAAACCACAUUAUUUGUUUCUACUAAGAUGCAAACUAUUUCUGGUUAUCAUCUUCACCAAGUAGAAGCAUCAAGAACACUGAAAGAAGCCAUAUGCUCAGUCUGCUAUUUUCAACUCAGAAGGUUCCACAUCCUUAGAGGUUGGAGAGAAGAAGAAAAAGAGCUUCCUUUAUCCAACUGGACAUUGGGGAUCCACACGCUUUAUUCACAGUGGUCUCUCCAGGACCUUUCAUGGAGACUGGCACUUAUGCACUGGAUAAAUGCAUGUGAGAUUUUACAGAGACAUCAUGGAGUCUGGAAGGAAGGGUUUUUAGGGAAUGGCUUCAUCCAAGAAUAAGAAUUCAGGAAGAACACAGCCUCAGGAACAAUGCAGAAAGUUCGAAUGCCAGGAACAUGCACUGUUGACCCAUGCAUGCUGGACAAAAUGCUCUUUACACCACCCUGAAACACAAGGUGUUGGUUUACAGAGUCUAUGUGUUCUCUGUGGCUGGAUCUCUCCUGCAAAGUACAUGAUCUGAAAGCCUCUCCUUUCUCUAUAACAUACAGACCUGCUGUUGUCUCCACAUCCUCAGCCACUCACACUUCUCAGAUCUUUCAUUUCUGCACAAAUCGCAAUCCUCGAGAGGCCUCCAGGUAUGUGUUCAAGCCAGCACAGCUUUGCUGGAGACCACAAAGCAGAAGAAACCCAUAGAAAGCUGCCAAACACCCAAUAAAAUAAAACUGACUGAGCA